GACGAACGCUGGCGGCGUGGAUUAGGCAUGCAAGUCGAACGGUAUCAUCCUUUCGGGGGUGAGAGAGUGGCGAACUGGUGAGUAACACGUAGGUUAAUCUACCCUCAAGACGGGGGACAACCCAGGGAAACUUGGGCUAAUACCGGAUGUGAGCAACUUUUAGUUGUUUGAAAGGUGGCGUAAGCUGUCGCUUGGGGAUGAGCCUGCGUCCUAUUAGUUAGUUGGUGAGGUAACGGCUCACCUAGGCAAUGAUAGGUAGGCGGCCUUAACGGGUGGUCGCCCACACUGGGAUUGAGAUACGGCCCAGGACUCCUACGGGAGGCAGCAGUCGAGAAUAGUCUACAAUGGUCGGAAGACUGAUAGUGCGACGCCGCGUGAACGAUGAAUCCCUUCGGGGUGUAAAGUUCUUUUAUAUGUGAGCAGUGCUUCUUAUAUUAACAGUAUGGGGAAGAGAUAUUAGCAUAUGAAUAAGCAACGGCUAACUCCGUGCCAGCAGCCGAGGUAAAA
rnacentral:rRNA from 1 species